AGGUAAAACUCACCUGGUGAAGGAGCACGACGGCAAGGUUUAGGAGUAGGGGGAGGAGUUGGUGUCUGUUUAAACACUGUAAGAUAGACAGUACCAAAAUAUCUUCUCCUCCCGUCUCCUUCAGAAGCCCAAGUGAUAAUGAUGUGGGUCCUGCAGCUCUGCUGCAUUGCGUCUGUGGCACUUUAUGGACUCUAUUUCAAACUGGGUGUUUACUUAUCGCAUCACCAAAUCAAGAGUUAAGAGUUCUGGCUCCACAGAUUCUGG